UACGGAGGGUGCAAGCGUUAUCCGGAUUCACUGGGUUUAAAGGGUGCGUAGGCGGGUUGGUAAGUCAGUGGUGAAAUCUUCAAGCUUAACUUGGAAACUGCCGUUGAUACUAUCAAUCUUGAAUGUUGUGGAGGUAAGCGGAAUAUGUCAUGUAGCGGUGAAAUGCUUAGAUAUGACAUAGAACACCGAUAGCGAAGGCAGCUUGUUACACAAUAAUUGACGCUGAGGCACGAAAGCGUGGGGAUCAAACAGG
rnacentral:rRNA from 1 species